rnacentral:rRNA from 1 species
AUUGAACGCUGGCGGCAUGCCUUACACAUGCAAGUCGAACGGUAACAGGUCUUCGGAUGCUGACGAGUGGCGAACGGGUGAGUAAUACAUCGGAACGUGCCCGAGAGUGGGGGAUAACGAGGCGAAAGCUUUGCUAAUACCGCAUACGAUCUCAGGAUGAAAGCAGGGGACCGCAAGGCCUUGCGCUCACGGAGCGGCCGAUGGCAGAUUAGGUAGUUGGCGGGAUAAAAGCUUACCAAGCCGACGAUCUGUAGCUGGUCUGAGAGGACGACCAGCCACACUGGGACUGAGACACGGCCCAGACUCCUACGGGAGGCAGCAGUGGGGAAUUUUGGACAAUAGGCGCAAGCCUGAUCCAGCCAUGCCGCGUGCAGGAUGAAGGCCUUCGGGUUGUAAACUGCUUUUGUACGGAACGAAAAGACUCCUUCUAAUAAAGGGGGUCCAUGACGGUACCGUAAGAAUAAGCACCGGCUAACUACGUGCCAGCAGCCGCCGUAACAC